rnacentral:rRNA from 1 species
AUUCGGUGAGUACCCACGAGAGGGCAAGUCUGGCCCAGCAGCCGCGGUAAUUCCAGCUCUCGUAAUGUAUAGAAUUAUUGUUGCGGUUAAAAAGUUCGUAGUUGGAUUUCAUACCGCCAGUGGGUCGUGCCUAACGGUGCGUACUCGCGGCGGUGUUUAUGCCGGGGCGGGCUUGCCUGCCCCAGCAUGGAUUACUUUGAACGGCCUAAGUGCUCAAGGCGUUCUUCGGACUGAAUACCGGUGCAUGGAAUAAUGGAACAAGGUUUCGGCCGAGUUUUAUUGGUUUUGUCGGCUGAGACAAUGGUUAACAGGAACAGCUGGGGGCACUCGUAUCCCGGCGCGAGAGGUGAAAUUCUUGGACCGUCGGGAGACGCCCUAAAGCGAAGGCAUUUGCCAAGAGUGUUUUCAUUAAUCAAGAACGAAAGUCAGAGGUUCGAAGGCGAUUAGAUACCGCCCUAGUUCUGACCGUAAACGAUACCAACUAUCAAUCCGCCAGUAGCUUUUGGUUAUUGGCGGGCGGAUCGACGGUAACGAAAGUUUUUCGGUUCCGGGGGAAGUAUGGUUGCAAAGCUGAAACUUAAAGGAAUUGACGGAAGGGCACCACCAGGAGUGGAGCUUGCGGCUUAAUUUGACCCAACACGGGAAACCUCACCCGGCCAGUACAUCAUAAGGAUUGACAGAUUGAAAGCUCUUUCAUGAUUUGAUGAAUGGUGGUGCAUGGCCGUUCUUAGUUCGUGGCGUGAGUCGUCUGCUUAAUUGCGAUAACGAGCGAGACUCCGACUGUUAAAUAGCACCCGUUUCUUUUCGAGCGGGCGGCUUCUUAACUGGAUUCGCGGCUUCAAGCCGCAAGAAAUGGAGCAAUAACAGGUCUGUGAUGCCCUUAGAUGUUCGGGGCCGCACGCGUGCUACAAUGAUGGUAACAGCGUGAUUGUCCUCGCCCGACAGGGCUUGGCAAACAGUUGAGGUAUUAUUAUGGCUGGAAUUGAGUGUUGAAAUUUUCUCUCAUGAACGAGGAAUUCCAAGUAAAUGCGAGUCAUCAACUUGCAUUGAUUACGUCCCUGCCCUUUGUACACACCGCCCGUCGCUACCCGGGACUGAGUUGUUUCGAGAAAACUACGGACCGGCCGCUUCUCGCAAGAGACCCGGCUGGAAAGUGAAUUAAUCGCAACGGCUUGAACCGGGUAAAAGUCGUAA